rnacentral:rRNA from 2 species
CCUUUGUUGCCAGCGAUUAGGUCGGGAACUCAAAGGAGACUGCCAGUGAUAAACUGGAGGAAGGUGGGGAUGACGUCAAGUCAUCAUGGCCCUUACGACCAGGGCUACACACGUGCUACAAUGGCGCAUACAAAGAGAAGCGACCUCGCGAGAGCAAGCGGACCUCAUAAAGUGCGUCGUAGUCCGGAUUGGAGUCUGCAACUCGACUCCAUGAAGUCGGAAUCGCUAGUAAUCGUGGAUCAGAAUGCCACGGUGAAUACGUUCCCGGGCCUUGUACACACCGCCCGUCACACCAUGGGAGUGGGUUGCAAAAGAAGUAGGUAGCUUAACCUUCGGGAGGGCGCUUACCACUUUGUGAUUCAUGACUGGGGUGAAGUCGUAACAAGGUAACCGUAGGGGAACCUGCGGUUGGAUCACCUCCUUACCUUAAAGAA